UCUGUGGCUCAGUCGGCAGAGCGACGCACUCGUAAUGCGUAGGUCAUCGGUUCGAAUCCGAUCAG
rnacentral:tRNA from 1 species